GGAGAAAGCGAGAGGUCUAGUGAACCGAUGGAUGAUUUAAAGAUACGCACUCAGUGGAGGAAUUCCGAAAAAGGUCUGCCCGCAGCCUGACAGCGCCAUUUCCUUAAUGAAAAUGGCUCCAGACAAAGUUUUCGUUUCUACUCCAAGUCUUUCAUUCCCCUCAGGAAGAAAAGCGAGACCUAGAGCCUGGAUCCAAAUUCGCUUCUUGACCUCUCCCAGGUGGGAAACCUAUUUAAGGCUGUUGCUUCACG